rnacentral:rRNA from 1 species
GACGAACGCUGGCGGCGUGCUUAACACAUGCAAGUCGAACGGUAAGGCCCUUCGGGGUACACGAGUGGCGAACGGGUGAGUAACACGUGGGUGAUCUGCCCUGCACUUCGGGAUAAGCCCGGGAAACUGGGUCUAAUACCGGAUAGGACUCCGGACUGCAUGGUCUGGGGUGGAAAGCUUUUGCGGUGUGGGAUGGGCCCGCGGCCUAUCAGCUUGUUGGUGGGGUGAUGGCCUACCAAGGCGACGACGGGUAGCCGGCCUGAGAGGGUGACCGGCCACACUGGGACUGAGAUACGGCCCAGACUCCUACGGGAGGCAGCAGUGGGGAAUAUUGCACAAUGGGCGCAAGCCUGAUGCAGCGACGCCGCGUGAGGGAUGACGGCCUUCGGGUUGUAAACCUCUUUCAGCAUCGACGAAGCGAAAGUGACGGUAGGUGCGGAAGAAGGACCGGCCAACUACGUGCCAGCAGCCGCCGUAA